GCAGGUGCAGCACUUUUAUGAGUUUUUCAAAAUGAGAUGAGAGCCACGAUGUCCAUGAAUUCAAGCUCUUACAAAUGAUUGUCUGGAGGCAGCCGAUACACGUGAGAAGAGAGUUCCUUCUUGAAAGUUACUGGGACUGAAAGUCACGUCACAAUGUAGUUGGCUGUCCAGCAGUUCUGGAUCGGAUAUAACAAUCAUUGCAGUUCAGAAGACCAUUUCUAAUCCUGACAUCUGUCCCACUUGCUGCAUCUCCCAGCUGUCCCUUGCAAAUGCCGCACCUGAAACACUGAAUAUGGAAAUAAAGACCAAGCGUUUCAAUAAUCAUGGCAGCUCCCUUGCCAAGAGGAAGCCCACAGGUGGAACAAAGCUUCUUUCCGCUGACAGACCUGUUGGGUGACUGACUUGGUGCAGCAGGUGAGCAGGGAGACGAUGGCCCAGAUCGAAAGUUCUCAUGACAGCCUGCCCUCCUCCCUUCCCCUGCGGCGCUCGGCUGCUGUCCUGCACUCUGCCCCAGCAGCGGUCUCUGCCGGGCGUCCUCUGCGUGGUGUGGGGACUGCUUCGUUAGCAGCUGCUGGUUCCAUGGGACAUCCUGAGUCAAUGGCAGAUUCAACCGGGCAGGCGAGCAGCGCUCCAUCACCGGCACCUGGUACUCCUGGUCACCUCCUUUCAAGAUACCCACCUCUGGGUGUCCUGAGAGAACUUUAUUUCCACUCCUCUUUUCUUGCCAGCGUUCAUUUUCCUUGUUUUUCAGAGAUGCUAUGCUGUCCUGCUCCCAAACCAGCUUUUUCUGCCUUGUAACUUCUUUUGGUUUGCCUUCCUCUGGAGAGCCAUUUGAAUCACUUGUGUUCGCUGUUUUAUUUCCUUCAGUGGUAGAGGAAGAAGAGGAGAGGAGUUCUGCAGAGUUUGAAGAAACAAUGAAUGGAACUACAGUGUCCUCGAUUAUCUUACGUUCCUCCUCAUAGUAUCUACGCUCCUCCUCUUCAACUUCUCUCUGUGCCUUUUCCCAUUCCUCCUUCAGUUUGUCUUGCUCCUUCUGAUACUUCUCCUGAAGCAGGCGUUCUUGCUCAUGCUGCCACCUCUCCUGCCGCUUCCGCUCUUCCUCUGGGUCCCAGGACCAGAAAUUGAAACGAUUUGAUUUGUCACUAUUGCCAGAAUCAGCUUGCAGAUCAGAAUUAUGCAGAGUGACCUGGCUGGUCUCUGGCAGUUUCUUCAAAAAUGGCAAUACUACACUCCCUUCUUGUUCUAGGGCUUUCGGUUUCAUUACCUCCUGCAUAGCAGGGAGUGCUGCCUCUUUCUGCUUCUCCAUUUCAGGUUUCUUCACAUCUUU
rnacentral:lncRNA from 1 species